rnacentral:tRNA from 1 species
CGCGGGGUGGAGCAGUCUGGUAGCUCGUCGGGCUCAUAACACGAAGGUCAUAGGUUCAAAUCCUAUCCCCGCAACCA